UCCCGUGAGGUGUGACACCUUUGGCGCAAUGGAUAGCGCGUUCGCCUCCUAAGCGAAAGGUUGCGGGUUCGAG